CCUUGUACACACCGCCCGUCACACCAUGGGGGUGGGUUCCACCAGAAGUAGGUAGCCUAACCGCAAGGAGGGCGCUUACCACGGUGAGAUUCAUGACUGGGGUG
rnacentral:rRNA from 1 species